GACCAACGCUGGCGGCGUGCUCAACACAUCCAAGUCGAACGGAAAGGCCCUGCUUUUGUGGGGUGCUCGAGUGGCGAACGGGUGAGUAACACGUGAGUAACCUGCCCUUGACUUUGGGAUAACUUCAGGAAACUGGGGCUAAUACCGGAUAGGAGCUCCUGCUGCAUGGUGGGGGUUGGAAAGUUUCGGCGGUUGGGGAUGGACUCGCGGCUUAUCAGCUUGUUGGUGGGGUAGUGGCUUACCAAGGCUUUGACGGGUAGCCGGCCUGAGAGGGUGACCGGCCACAUUGGGACUGAGAUACGGCCCAGACUCCUACGGGAGGCAGCAGUGGGGAAUAUUGCACAAUGGGCGGAAGCCUGAUGCAGCAACGCCGCGUGCGGGAUGACGGCCUUCGGGUUGUAAACCGCUUUCGCCUGUGACGAAGCGUGAGUGACGGUAAUGGGUAAAGAAGCACCGGCUAACUACGUG
rnacentral:rRNA from 1 species